CCCCCCCCCCCCCCCCCCCCCCCCCCCCCCCCCCCCCCCCCCCCCCCCCCCGUGGCUCCGUGGGGCUCCGUGUGGCUCCGUGUGGCUCCGUGUGGCUCCGUGUGGCUCCGUGUGGCUCUGGCGCCCGUCUGGGCAGUGCCAUAAUUCCCUGUAAUCGCCGCAGCCGCUCCGGCCUCACCUGGUGCCGGCGCUCACCGGAGGGUCAGAGCGGGCAGCGCCGGCACGGCAAUCGGAUUAGCGGGAUAAAGAGAGGGGACAGGAGGGACAGGGGACAGGGGACAGGAGGGACAGGGGACAGGAGGGACAGCCCCCCCCCCCCCCCCCCCCCCCCCCCCCCCCCCCCCCCCCCCCCCCCCCCCCCCCCCCCCCCCCCCCCCCCCCCCCCCCCCCCCCCCCCCCCCCCCCCCCCCCCCCCCCCCCCCCCCCCCCAGGAGGGAGAGGAGGGACAGGAGGGAGAGGAGGGAGAGGAGGGACAGGAGGGACGGGAGGGACAGGAGGGACAGGAGGGACAGGAGGGACAGGAGGAGCAGGGGAUAGGAGGGGCAGGAGGGACAGAGAGAUAGGAGGGACAGGGGAGAGAGGGGCAGAGGGACAGUGGGACGGGAGAGAGGGAUUGGGGACAGGAGGGACAGGGGACAGGAGGGACAGAAGGGACAGAGGGAGCUGCUGGUGCCUGGGGGUGAGGAACUGAGGCCAUUGGAGGUUGGGGUGCCCCGGGUGACAUCAGGGUCACCCUGGGGGUCAGGGUGGCCUUUGGCCACUGGGGACAUUCCCGGAUUCUCGAGGCACUGAUGGAUGGCACUGCAGAGGUUUUGGGGUGGGGGAGUUCUGAGUUCUGGGCACUGAGGGGGGUUGGGGCAUUUCUGCCCUCUCUGGGUGACACCUUGAGGUCCCUGCCCCACUCACACCUGGCAGCCAGGGGGAGGAA
rnacentral:lncRNA from 12 species